rnacentral:ncRNA from 1 species
AAUAUAUUGUAUAAUAUAUAAUUUUUGUUCAUGAUAUCAACAAGUGUCCCUGGUGCAUAUCUUGGUGGUAGUAGCAAAUAUUCAAAUGAGAACUUUGAAUAGUGAAGUGGGGAAAUGUUUCAUGUGAACAUCACUUGGACAUGGGUUAGUCGAUCCUAAGAGAUGGGGAAUCCUUGUAUCAAGGGUGCACUCUGUAUGAACAUCGAAAGAGAAUUGGGUUAAUAUUCCCAAACCGGGACAUGGUGGUGGAUGACAAUGUUAGGAAAUAUGGAGAUGUCAUC